rnacentral:lncRNA from 1 species
ACGUGUAUAGUGAUCCCAGAGAUCAAUGCUCACUGAACACACAUAAGCUGAAUAACAAGAGUCUUACAUCCAUACAUACCGUCUUACACAAAUUAUGACCAUUAUGGUCAAGUCUUACAUAGAUAAAGCCACAAGGGCUGAAUACCAAAUAAACUUAAGAAACGGAAAUCUUCGUAGGUAAGUAGAACCUAUGCCAUAUGGCUUAACCCUACAUGCAUUCUGACUGGGAAAGCGUCCUAGUUCGCAUGUUCGUCUCCAAAGAACUCUUCUUCGAACUACUGCUCUUCCAUGCCUGGCCAAUUAAAUAACCAGUGGCAAGCCAAUGAGUACUUUGAAUGUACUCGCAAGCAACCCAUGAUUGGAACAAGGCACAAUAAUGCAAUGAUAUAGCACUAAGUUGGUAGUUUGCAGAAAGCUAGUUUUGAGUGCAAUGGCAUGAUCUAUCAACAAGUAAAGCAUGCAUCAUGGGAGUACAGAUAUACGUAUGAACAAGUUGCAGAUAUCAACAUAAGCAGAGUUGGACACCAAUCCAACUUGAUCAUCGUGACAAGUCAUCCGACUUAACCAAAUUAGCUUCAUCAACACACACACACACACACACAUGUGGUUUGUAAAACUCUGGACGCAGUUUAAGCAGCACCGCCCAACUGUCCUUGACCGUGGACACGGCUAUUCGAAUAGUUUUACACUCUGCAGAGGUUGCACACUUUACCCACAAGAUCCGGGGAACUUCCGUGUCAUCCACGACCCGCGGUACCUCAAGUACCCGGGGUAAGCACCCGAUCACUAUCUUUCCCUAGACGACACUAACAUAGAGUCCACUCGAUUGGUAGUAACCCUCGUGCCCAACAUUUCAUAUCUUAAAAUUGUGGAGCCUCGCUCCCAUAUUCAUCGCAUACCACUGGCACGGGUUACCAACGAUGUGUCCGAUGCCCUGUGAAAACAGUCAUGGCCGCCUUACCUGGCACGACCCCGUCCCGAGAGUGACUCCAUGUCACCCCCGUCACUUGUAAUGUGGGCACCAUGCUAGUAUCGGCCUAGGUAAUCAAUAAUGCCCUUUCCCAUAUAAGGGUGGAGUGGUUGCGCAUGUAAGGUUGGGACAGUCGACAAAUAUUAAAUCUAAUCCGUUUUCGAAAACACUCCCACAAAACUUGCUCCGGUACACCACUUCUUUAAUAAGAGGUAAUCUAGCUCACCAUCUCCCUCGGGCAUUAGUGGCACCCGACGGGGUUUUUGAGAAGUCCUUGAAAACAACUUGGUUUCCUUCACCAUGCAUAUACCCAUCCCAUUUGCGCAGGAGCUACUUAGCAUCCUAACUACACCCACUCGCAUAACCCUCAUAGAAAGGUAGGGUCAUGCAUCAUGCAAGUGUCAACGAGAAAAGCAACGGAGGCAGACCACCUUAAGUGGUCACCACAUCAUCAUGACUUCGAUGCAAGCAAUAAAAGUGCCAUAUGACAUGCAUAAAAAGGGUUUCUUAGACAUGGUCAAAGGGCUGCUUGCCUUGUCCUUCAGAGUCUUCAAACCUUCUGGUCCAUCUUCAAGUAUUCCGUCUACUUCGCUAACUAACGACGGAAGCAAUCACAAUAAGCAACACAGCAAGGCAAAAAUGAAAGUGCUCUAAAAAUAUGAUGUUGACUUUUCUAGGACUUUUCUGGUUAUAUGAAAAAUAACCAGAGUGAUUUCAUUGGAUUUGGAUCAGUGGAUAUUUCUGAACAUUUCAAUCCGAUUGAAUCAAGGGAUUAAUGGAUUUGCAAGAAGUGUACAGAAACAUUAUUUUGAAAAAUGAGCAGAGGCACCCAUUUAACAAAGGAUGAUUUUAGAAGCACCUAGGAGUUGGUUUCACUAGAUUUGGAGUUAAAAUGAUUUUUCUAUGAAUUUGGAAAGUUGGCAAUAUAUGGAGAAAUGGACCAAUAUUUCAUGUAGCACGUAAAGUAUUGGGAAAAAUGUUCAAAGCCUAAGUUAUGAACUUAGAAGUAUCUAGGAAUUUGAGUCAUGGAAUUUGGAUAAAAAAUGGGCUCUCUAUGAUUUCGACAGUUCAUCACAGAAAUGGAAAAACAGGAUUUGAUAAAUGUUUGUGAAGAAAAUCUUUAUGGAAAAAUAUGCAAAUUGCACCAUGUGAUAGAUCAUGAAUUUAUAAACUUAUACAAAUUUGAAUCAUCAAAUUUGGAGUCCAUUUGAAUUAUUUAGGAAUUUUUAAAUAUUUAUGAAAAGGAAAAGGAAGAAAAGAAGUCAACCUUAUAAAGCGCACUGGGCGAAGCCCAGCUAAACAGCGCCUACUGGGCUCGGCCCAGUGGCUCAGCUGCGCGAGGGAGGAGGUGACGCCGAAGGCGCACUGGGCAAGCGGAUCGG